GUGACCUCAAAUCAGGUAGGACUACCCGCUGAACUUAAGCAUAUCAAUAAGCGGAGGAAAAGAAACUAACAGAUUCCCUAGUAACUGCGAGUGAAGCGGGAAAGCUCAAUUUAAAUCUGGCAGUCU
rnacentral:rRNA from 1 species